UAUUCCUUGCUAUUCGUAGAGUCCGAUUAUAAAUUUUAAUACGAAUUUUGAUAUUGGAGUAUUAAAUUAGAAAUUCUUCAAAAAUUCAAAAUUGGCUAUUUAGCUAUUUAAUCGAUGAAUUUCUUUAGCUAAUAGCCUAUUCGUAGCGCCGACAUUAUAUUUUGAGAAUUUCGUACCAAUCCAAGUCGAAUAAAAAAACGGCAGUAUAUCGCACCUGCCUGCUUGUUCAUACCUUUGCGUAUUUUUAUUUAAUAAUCGGGCAAUAUAAAUAUUAUGAGGUAGAAGGAUUUUAUAGCUAGAAUAUCAUAUUCUACUAAAUAUAAAAGUUUGGAGCCCGACGAGUUAAUUAUAGAAAUUAGCUUUUGAAUAAGCAGGUAGCUCCUGAGAAUAAGCAUAAAGCUCAUCUGAUUUGAGUAAAUAAUGGGACAGGUGUACGUUGGAGGAGAUUUGGGUGAAGUUAUAAAAUCCAGAAAGUAUCGGUAGGAGGUACGCAUGGCACCUCCGGGACAGGGGACGUCUCGGGAGAUAGAAA